UGCCUGUUUCAGCAGCAAUAGACCAAAGUUGGAAUUAUACAGACGAGAUGAACAUGGCCCCUGUGCUAGGAUGACAUGCAAAUUUGUGAAAGCAUUCUGUAUCUU